AUGAAUAAAAGAGUGGUCCCGAGCACAAAGUGGCAAAUUACACAUUUCGAGACGUGGCGUGAUGCACCCCGCAGCCCCCUCCUCAGCGCCCCCGACACGGACGCCGCGGCCCGGCCCGCUCCGGCCUCGCCACGCCCGGCGGCGCGGGUCCGAGCAGGGGCGGGUCCUGCAAACUACGAGCGGCCCGUGGCCCGGGACAAACUUCUGGCGGAGGCGCAGCCCUGGCGCGGCCCGCCGGCCGGAGCCAGGCGCAGGGCAGACGCCGCGGCCGGGGAGGCGGGAGCGGGUGCGAGCCGUGCGGCAGCUCCUCUCCGCGGGGGCCGCGCCGCACCGGGACGGCGGGGGCGGCGGGGGCGCGGGGGCAGCGGGGGCGCGGGCGCGGGGCGCGGGCGGCCGCCCCGGCCGAGCUCCCUCCCGAGCUCCCUCCCGAGCUCCCUCCUGAGCUCCCUCCCGGAGGCGGCGGCGGCCGAGCGCCGGGGCGCGGGCGGCGGGCGGCGGGGCCGGGCGCUCACGCCCUCUAGCGGGCCGCGGCGGCGCCGGGCGGCCGUGACGUGGGCGCUCCCUCCAGCCGGCCUGCGGGGCACCGCCAGUCAGUCGGGGAGCAGGAGCCCCGCGCGCAGCCGGCGCGGGCUCGGCCAGCGGCCAGCGGCCAUCGGCGCCCCCGGGGCUGCGCUCGCGGCUGGCGGCGACCGGGCUGCGGGCGGGACGCGCGCGCCCCCCGCCACCGCCACGGCCGGCGCCGGCGCCUCGGGUCCCGAGCAGGGGAAGGAGAGCGGCGGCGGGUGCAGGCGCCGGCUCGGCACGGAGGGCGGCUCUGGGCUCCGCGGGCGCGCCCUCCGCUGCCUCUCGCGGCCGCGCGGGCUGCGAGCGGGGCCGGCGGCCGGGGAGCGGGACCCGGGCCCUUCGCCCCCGCCCCCGCCCCCGCCCCGGGCGCUGCCGGAGUUCGGACUCGGGCAAGUGCGGGCGCCGCGGGGCUCGGGCUGUGCUUGCGGCUGCGCAGCUUCGCCCGUGGCCGCCCGGAGCCCCGAGCCCCGUCCGCCCUCCGCCCCCGCCCGC
rnacentral:lncRNA from 1 species